rnacentral:rRNA from 1 species
AACGAACGCUGGCGGCAGGCUUAACACAUGCAAGUCGAGCGCCCCGCCAGGGGAGCGGCAGACGGGUGAGUAACGCGUGGGAACGUACCUUUUGGUUCGGAACAACUCCGGGACACUGGAGCUAAUACCGGAUAAGCCCUAACGGGGAAAGAUUUAUCGCCGAAAGAUCGGCCCGCGUCGGAUUAGCUAGUUGGUGAGGUAACGGCUCACCAAGGCGACGAUCAGUAGCUGGUCUGUGAGGAUGAUCAGCCACACUGGGACUGAGACACGGCCCAGACUCCUACGGGAGGCAGCAGUGGGGAAUAUUGGACAAUGGGCGCAAGCCUGAUCCAGCCAUGCCGCGUGAGUGAUGAAGGCCUUAGGGUUGUAAAGCUCUUUUGUCCGGGAAGAUAAUGACUGUACCGGAAGAAUAAGCCCCGGCUAACUUCGUG